UGUAAACACAUAAAAAACCAAUUUUUACAUACAAUACAAAUACAUACCAAAACAUUAGCGAGGACAGAAGACCUGCCGACUCGCGGGGAUUUGUUGGCAAGCUCUUGGCCUGCAUUUUACUAUAUUGUAUUUGACUUACAAUUGACUUCAAUUGAUAACGGGCUUUAAUUCAGAAAUUCUUUGUUAGAAACGUUU